UGCAAGUCGAGCGGUAGCACAGGGAGCUUGCUUCUGGGUGACGAGCGGCGGACGGGUGAGUAAUGUGUGGGAAACUGCCUGAGGGAGGGGGAUAACUACUGGGAACGGUGGCUAAUACCGCAUAACGUCGCAAGACCCAAGAGGGGGACCUUCGGGCCUCUUGCCAUCUGAUGUGCCCACAUGGGAUUAGCUAUUAGGUGGGGUAAUGGGUCACCUAUGCGACAAUCCCUAUCUGGGCUGAGAGGAUGACCACCCACACUGGAACUGAGACACGGUCCACACUCCUACGGGAGGCGGCAGUGGGGAAUAUUGCACAAUGGGCGCAAGCCUGAUGCACCCAUGCCGCGUGUAUGAAAAAAGCCUUUGGGUUGUAAAGUACUUUCAGCGAGGAGGAAAGCGUUGUGGUUAAUAACCGCAGUGAUUGACGUUACUCUCACAAAAAACACCGGCUAACUCCGUGCCACCAGCCGCGGUAAUACGGAGGGUGCAAGCGUUAAUCGGAAUUACUGGGCGUAAAGCGCACGCACGCGGUCUGUCAAGUCGGAUGUGAAAUCCCCGGGCUCAACCUGGGAACUGCAUUCUAAACUGGCAGGCUAUAGUCUUGUAGAGGGGGGUAGAAUUCCA
rnacentral:rRNA from 1 species